GAAGCGCGCCAGACCGCCGCUGGUGCAAUCUGGGAAACCAGGCACUGGAGGAACGUCCGGACUGCACAGGACAGCGUAGCAGCUAACGGCUGCCCACCGUGAGGUGAGGAUCAGAGCAACAGAGACGAGUCAGGUCGUUUUCAGCCACCAAGGGUGUUCUAUGGGGUGCCAGCGCAAGCUGGCAACGGCUGGCGCAAGCCAGACGCUCAGGCGCAAGCCUGAAGCCCCAUAGCCACCCAAGGCGCGGAACGCGACUUGGGUGAAACGGGCAAUCUCUACGCGCAGCAAUACCAAGUAGGCCAACGUUGAUGUGGUUCCGCAGAGUUGGCGGGUAGGUAGCACCGAGCCGUGGUGGCAACACCCGGCCCAGAUUAAUGGCGGUCACACUGCGGGCAACCGUGGUGCACAGAAUCCGGCUUAUCGGCGCGCUUCACAC
rnacentral:RNase_P_RNA from 1 species